AAUCAUAGGUUUUGUAUUAUUUUUCUCUUAAUAUUUUAAUUUAUAUUUCACGAAAGUUUCUUAUUAAAGUAGUCUUCUGAUAUAUCACCAACAAAAUUGAUUGUGAGGUGAGAAUCAUUGAUCAUGUUCGCAGUAUAGUAUGAGAUAAUUCAAAAAAAAAUGCUUUCAAUUUUACAUGGUUUUAUGUACUUUUUUGGACUAUUGGGUGUUGUAAAUAAUUAACCAAUCUGGAAUAGAAUGCAAGCACUGCUCAGAAAAUCUGUUAGUUAUCUUUUUUAAAUGUGUGUCUAGAAUACAAAAUUUAAAGUUGAAUAUAACAUGUUGCUGGUGUGAUUGCUUCAAGCACUACUCAAUAUAUAAUGGAUAGACAAUUCUUGAAUAAACAUGAGAACCUUUUUGUUAAAUUAUAUUUACAACUUGACAGAAUGUAUAAACAUUAAAAGAUUCAAUAUUUCUUUCACACAUUAACCAUCUUUCCUUUCAAAAUAAAAUUCAAACCCUUGGGACUAAUUGAUGUAUUUUUUUCCGGUGUGUCUUCAUGAUGCUGGUGUGGUUGCUUCAAGAGUCCCAUAAGUUAUCCAUGUAAACCUAUGGAUUGGAGACAAAGAAGAGACAUGAAAUUGCGCACGCGUACGUAAAGCUGUUGAACAAACAAAUGCAGAAAUACAGAAGAAAAAAAAUCAUGGAUUUUUACAUAUCUUGUAUAGAAUAC
rnacentral:lncRNA from 1 species